GAUGAACGCUGGCGGCGUGCUUAACACAUGCAAGUCGAACGAGAAAUGUAGACGGAAGCCUUCGGGCGGAAGCCUGCAUUUCGAGGGGCGGCCGGAGGAGUAACGCGUGGGUAACCUGCCUCAUACAGGGGGAUAACAGUUGGAAACGACUGGUAAUACCGCAUCAGACCACAGCAUCGCAUGAUGCGGGGGUAAAAACUCCGGUGGUAUGAGAUGGACCCGCGUUCGAUUAGCCAGUUGGCGGGGUAACGGCCCACCAAAGCGACGAUCGAGAGCCGAUCUGAGAGGAUGACCGGCCACAUUGGGACUGAGACACGGCCCAAACUCCUACGGGAGGGAGCAGUGGGGAAUAUUGCACAAUGGGGGAAACCCUGAUGAAGCGACGCCGCGUGAGUGAAGAAGUACUUCGGUAUGUAAAGCUCUAUCAGCAGGGAAGAAAAUGACGGUACCUGAGUAAGAAGCCCCGGCUAACUACGUG
rnacentral:rRNA from 1 species